UGGGGAAUAUUGCGCAAUGGGGGGAACCCUGACGCAGCCAUGNCCGCGUGAAUGAAGAAGGCCUUAGGGUUGUAAAGUUCUUUCGGUAUUGAGGAAGGUUGAUGUGUUAAUAGCACAUCAAAUUGACGUUAAAUACAGAAGAAGCACCGGCUAACUCCGUGCCAGCAGCCGCGGUAAUACGGAGGGUGCGAGCGUUAAUCGGAAUAACUGGGCGUAAAGGGCACGCAGGCGGUUAUUUAAGUGAGGUGUGAAAGCCCCGGGCUUAACCUGGGAAUUGCAUUUCAGACUGGGUAACUAGAGUACUUUAGGGAGGGGUAGAAUUCCACGUGUAGCGGUGAAAUGCGUAGAGAUGUGGAGGAAUACCGAAGGCGAAGCNNGCCCCUUGGGAAUGUACUGACGCUCAUGUGCGAAAGCGUGGGGAGCAAACAGGAUUAGAUACCCUGGUAGUCCACGCUGUAAACGCUGUCGAUUUGGGGGUUGGGGUUUAACUCUGGCGCCCGUAGCUAACGUGAUAAAUCGACCGCCUGGGGAGUACGGCCGCAAGNUA
rnacentral:rRNA from 1 species